GACCCGAACCUGGGUGAUCUAUCCAUGACCAGGAUGAAGCUUGGAUGAAACUAAGCAGAGGUCCGAACCGACUGAUGUUGAAGAAUNUAUCCAUGACCAGGAUGAAGCUUGGAUGAAACUAAGCAGAGGUCCGAACCGACUGAUGUUGAAGAAUCAGCGGAUGAGUUGUGGUUAGGGGUGAAAUGGCACUCGAACCCAGAGCUAACUGG
rnacentral:ncRNA from 1 species